AGGAUGAAUGCUGGCGGCGCGCCUAACACAUGCAAGUCGAGCGGAAAGGCCCUUCGGGGUACUCGAGCGGCGGACGGCUGAGUAACGCGUGGGAACAUGCCCCAAAGUGAGGAAUAACUGCCCGAAAGGGUAGCUAAUGCCGCAUAUGAUCUUAGGAUUAAAGGAUUUAUCCGCUUUGGGAGUGGCCCGCGUACGAUUAGGUAGUUGGUGAGGUAAAGGCUCACCAAGCCCACGAUCGUUAACUGGUCUGAGAGGAUGAUCAGUCAGACUGGAACUGAGACACGGUCCAGACUCCUACGGGAGGCAGCAGUGAGGAAUCUUCCACAAUGGGCGAAAGCCUGAUGGAGCGACGCCGCGUGCAGGAUGAAGGCCUUCGGGUGUAACUGCUUUAUAAGUGAAGAUAUGACGGUAACUUAUGAAUAAGCACCGGCUAACUACGUGCCAGCAGCCGC
rnacentral:rRNA from 1 species